rnacentral:rRNA from 1 species
UGGCUCAGAUUGAACGCUGGCGGCAGGCCUAACACAUGCAAGUCGAGCGGAAACGAGUUAACUGAACCUUCGGGGAACGUUAACGGCGUCGAGCGGCGGACGGGUGAGUAAUGCCUGGGAAAUUGCCCUGAUGUGGGGGAUAACCAUUGGAAACGAUGGCUAAUACCGCAUAAUAGCUUCGGCUCAAAGAGGGGGACCUUCGGGCCUCUCGCGUCAGGAUAUGCCCAGGUGGGAUUAGCUAGUUGGUGAGGUAAUGGCUCACCAAGGCGACGAUCCCUAGCUGGUCUGAGAGGAUGAUCAGCCACACUGGAACUGAGACACGGUCCAGACUCCUACGGGAGGCAGCAGUGGGGAAUAUUGCACAAUGGGCGCAAGCCUGAUGCAGCCAUGCCGCGUGUGUGAAGAAGGCCUUCGGGUUGUAAAGCACUUUCAGUCGUGAGGAAGGUGGUGUAGUUAAUAGCUGCAUCAUUUGACGUUAGCGACAGAAGAAGCACCGGCUAACUCCGU